CAACCACUCAGGCCCAUGGAGCCUGGCGUUGGGGUAUCUACAGUUGAUUGUAGGCCCUGAAAAAUAGUGGCGGUGUCCGCUAGAAUUCCGGGCGCAGUACAGUUUCUUCUCGCCCAGGACGUCUUAGGGGCUGCCGGCCGUAAAACAGCCUAAAGCUUAGAA
rnacentral:misc_RNA from 1 species